CAAGGGAACAUCAUUUGGCCGGAUCAACGCUGUCUGUUCCAAAAAGCGCCGGUCAUUCAAAACAAUAAAAAACGAUCCAUAGCCACCCUAUCGCGACUCGUCUCUCUCCGGUUAGUCCCUCGAAGAAAAUUUAUGCACGCAUACUGUCGAUGCCGUGUAACGUCGCGUAAUGGACGUUUUCGAAAAAGCGAAUUGCACCGGGCGUCGAUACGCGGCCGAUUUAAAUAUGCAGAUACAGCCAGCGAUCAGGGAAAACGGUCACUUCUCCGCCGCGGCCAGAAAACUGACAAACGGGGGUAUCCAGCUUUCGCACACCGCGGCAACUUCAUUAUUUUGCCUGUCAACCGUCGGCUGAUAAAUCCCUGAAACGUGACGGCGGCGGCAGAUAUUGCGCGUUUCGCGGUCACGAGGACCGCGACAUCCGCGCGCACACCCUAUCAUUGAAAAUAAAAAUUUCACACUGGCUCGUUAAAGCUUAUCGCGGCCGUGGCAAUAAUUCCUCGACACGAACGAAACGCUCUGGCACGAUAAUACGCCGCCAUUUUUAUGAUAAUCCCCAGCACGGGCCGGAACUCAUCCCCGAUAAUUACCGAGUAAUGGUUCUCUUUCAAGUUUUUGCGAGGCCAAGUUCCUUGGCGAAAUGGCCUCGGAGUUGGGAAACUAAACUCGGCGACGAUUUCGUGCAUUCCGCGUACCCACUGGAUGCUAUUUCUUUUUCAAUUGAGCGGCUUUAUCACGUCCUAUUGUUCAAUUUACGCGCUGAUGGAUCGUUCUCUUAGGAAAUGUAUGUGUAAGACGAUAAGUUAUCUUUGUGACAUUCGAGGCUAAUCGUGUUAAAGUUUCACCGGUUUCAAUAUUUCUCGUAGCAUCAGUGCUUCGUUUUUGUAAAUGUAUGUGGAUAUAUAGUUCGUGAGAAUACGUUCGUUAUUUUUUCGCGAGGUUUUAAGAGGUAUAUUUUAAGGAAAAAGACAUGCGCGAAGAAGAAAGGAAGGAUUAACAGGAACGAAACCUAGGGAAGAAUUAGCAAAAACAUAUCCACUGAUAAUUUAAUCAUAUAGUAUUGUGGCGCGUGCCAUAUCCAUAUUUGAUGAAUUUCUGGAACAACUUACGUGUAUGGAUGAAAGGCAAAAAGAAGGAUGAAACUUUCCCGAAGAUCGUUCGUUGAGAUGUCCAUUUACUAAACAUUCUUUGGACAUCGAGGAAAUUAACGUUACCAGUUAUUGUAAAAGCUUGAAACUGUAGCGGCACUCGACAGUAAAGAACAACUCUCUUUCCAACGGUUCGUUAGUACAUACCACAGUUGACAGACUGUAUACGAAAGACCGACGAAAUAUAAGCAAGGCCGUUAUAAAGUGUAAGUGCCGACAGGCCUAAUGAGCCAUCGAUAUCCCUACGGUCCCUCUGCCAAAUACUCGGAAGAAGUAAACCGAAAGCGUGCGUAGUGGGGAUAUCGAGAGAUGACAAAAAGAGAAGAAAAGGAUUAAGAGAUCAGUCGUGAUAGAGAGUCGUAAACGAGCAUCGUAAGUGAAGAAUCGAAUAAAUUGUCGUCCGCACGAGUCGCGAAUCGAGACUUGUAACAAAGUCAUUGGUCGAGUUAAUAAACACACUAUUAAAUAAAA